rnacentral:misc_RNA from 1 species
AAAAUAAGUUAGCAUAACAACUCAAUAACCAACACUUAAAUUGCCUCCUCCACUUGUGGAGGAAGCUUAGAGAUGGUUGGCUGAAACUGAACAGAUUGUCACAAGGGCAACUUGAAUUAAAAAGCUGAAUGCAGUAUGACGUAGUCUUACAAAUUUCUGUUAUAGAGGAUUGAAAUUUUAGCAUUUGGUAGGCCAUAGAGCAGGGAACUUAAAAACUAUGAUUGAUUAGUAUAUAAGAUAUUAGAUGUAAGCAAGGAAAGGAAGAACAUAUAAGAAGCCAGAAAUACAUAUGAGCAAUAUCAGAGAUAAGAAAGUUUGCAAUCAAGAUAUUGUUAAUUGAAGCAAGAAACUAACCAAUUUGCUGCCUAUUCAUUUAGUGGCUGUAAUCAACAUUUUUGGCUAAACAUGUUAGUUUUAAGAUCAUUAUAGUGUAG